rnacentral:rRNA from 1 species
UGGUUAGUUUGGCCACCGGCCGGUGAUGAGCCGCCGAGCACUCUAGCCAGACUGCCCGUACAAGCGGGAGGAAGGUGGGGAGUGACGUCAAGUCAGCAUGGCCCUUACGCCCAGGGCUGCACACGUGCUACAAUGGCCGGUACAGAGGGAGGCAAUACCGCAAGGUGGAGCAAAUCCAUUAGAACCGGCCCCAGUUCAGAUUGCAGGCUGCAACUCGCCUGCAUGAAGUUGGAUUCGCUAGUAACGGCGCAUCAGCUACGGCGCCGUGAAUACGUUCCCGGGCCUU